AUGGAACUUCUUAGAGCAGCAAUGGAUAAACUGACUCCUUUAGCUGCUGAGCAUGAUGGUCUGGGUUUAGAACACAUAAUAGAAUUGAAGAACACAAAGGUUAAGGCAUUGAGUCUGCUAGAACGGCCACAUAAUGGCUGCAUGAGCGACGAUGUGGGCAGUGCCAUUGGAAUUUUCAUUGGAUUAUCUGCUCCAGAGCGCAAACGGAAAGCUGGACGACCAACAAACAGCAGAGACAAGCCUCCGUACAACGAUCGAUCUGGGAAGAGCAAAAAGUUGAAGGUUACAUCGGAAGAUGCAGUUCUCAGAUGCGGCACAAGUAAAAAACACGGUUCUGCACUAUAUAUCGUGGCCCUGGUCACAAAAGCACGCCUCAGAAGUAAAGGAAAGAACCGAAAUGCUCGAUUUGCAGGGUGGGAGGUCAUCGGAAGAACACCUGCAACAAUCCUAAGAUCAUGGUACAUGUUGUCGAGCAAACAACUCAUGAUCCUGCUAUCGAUCAGUGAUUAA
rnacentral:rRNA from 1 species